rnacentral:rRNA from 1 species
CACCAGCACCCCGAGUGGUCGGGACGAUUAUUGGGCCUAAAGCAUCCGUAGCCGGUCAUGCAAGUCCUCCGUUAAAUCCACCUGCUUAACAGAUGGGCUGCGGAGGAUACUACAAGGCUAGGAGGCGGAAGAGGCAAGCGGUACUCAGUGGGUAGGGGUAAAAUCCUCUGAUCCAUUGAAGACCACCAGUGGCGAAGGCGGCUUGCCAAUACGCGCUCGACGGUGAGGGA